rnacentral:rRNA from 1 species
UACGUAGGGUGCGAGCGUUGUCCGGAAUUAUUGGGCGUAAAGAGCUUGUAGGCGGUUUGUCGCGUCUGCUGUGAAAAUCCGGGGCUCAACCCCGGACUUGCAGUGGGUACGGGCAGACUAGAGUGUGGUAGGGGAGACUGGAAUUCCUGGUGUAGCGGUGAAAUGCGCAGAUAUCAGAAGGAACACCGAUGGCGAAGGCAGGUCUCUGGGCCACUACUGACGCUGAGAAGCGAAAGCAUGGGGAGCGAACAGG